UACGUAGGUGGCGAGCGUUGUCCGGAUUUACUGGGCGUAAAGGGAGCGUAGGCGGACUUUUAAGUGAGAUGUGAAAUACUCGGGCUCAACUUGAGUGCUGCAUUUCAAACUGGAAGUCUAGAGUGCAGGAGAGGAGAAUGGAAUUCCCAGUGUAGCGGUGAAAUGCGUAGAGAUUAGGAAGAACACCAGCGGCGAAGGCGAUUCUCUGGACUGUAACUGACGCUGAGGCUAGAAAGCGUGGGGAGUAAACAGG
rnacentral:rRNA from 1 species